CAUGCUAUCACUCAUAAAUCCACGAACGAAAACUUGGAUAGGAUCACUGAUAGCUGUGAUGAUGCAAAUGCCCAUUCGAUUACCCCAAAAGCUUCUACUCUUUUGGCUAAAAAUAAUCAUUAGUGGGUUCCAUACACGCCAUUGUGACGAUAACUACACAAAUCUGUGGAGGUCCCAUCAUGAGAAAUGAAUCAUCGUACUGGAUAUAUAUAAGAAUGGCAUGAGACAUGUAUCUGCGACUUACGUGCCGUUUUAGAAUAGCGAAGGUGGCCGGCGUCGGCCAACAGUUCGGUGGUGCCAACGAGGACACAACCGGAUAAGAACGAUGUGAAGUGCGGUGCUCUUAAAGAACUAUUACGAGGUAUUCCGAUCCCUUUCCUACCUCAGAGCUUCAAUCGCCAUCUCCCAAAGUGGGUGGUCGCGAAACAAAAACGCUCAUAACUGGACCACCCUCCUCUCUCUCUCUCUCUCUCUCUCUCUCUCUCUCUCUCUCGAUACCUAUAUAUACAGAAGCGCUACUAACACAGCGCCUUCAAGGAGAAGCGUUAUCAGCAAGGAGGGUAGACGAUGAGAUCGGGUCUUAGCACUAGUUUAGUUCUGAUCCUACUCGUGUCUUCCAUCGGGAACAGUAAGUCUCGCAUUAUGUACGGCGACGCACCGUCUCGGGUUACCGACCGGAGGCGGUCGACGAGCUUCAGGAGCUCGACGCUGAUGGACUAUCAAAUGGUGUUUGCUGUUGUUUUUUAUGUAGAAUUUGAGGGCGAAGGAGAAGAGAAUAGUACAAAAAAAAUAAGGAGUACUAUGUAAUGUUUUCAUUACUUUUAAUCUGCCAUAUUUUCUGGAGUAUUUUUAAUGUGUACUGUUUUGCUAACUUUACGAACUCAUAAAUGCUCAAACUCCGAUUACUUGUGAUUAGUUUAGCAAGUCCCACGUAGUCCUAUAUCAGGAAAAAUAAGUUUGAUAUCUCCUAUUUAAACUAUAAAUAAGGGUCUGAACUUUGAAGUCAGGUGCACCACAAGAAAACUUAAUUAUUUACUUUAGGCUUUUCUUAUUUAGUAGUUUCGUGUUUUAUGACCUAGGAACAUCUUCCUAAGAUAUUUGUAAUAGUCGGUGUUCUUAUCGCUUUUAUUAUUUCUGCUUUAUUAUCUUUGUUGGAUUGGUAAAUUUUCUAAGACUAGCUCUAAGACUUGCCUUAGAAGCAUCAUAUAAGGAAACACACGGAAAGGCCAUCCAAAAUGAGUGUGGGAGUAAGACCAGAAAUAAUUAAACUAGUGCUAAGACCCGAUCUCACCAUCUAUCCUCCUUGUUCUUAGGCCUUAAACUCUCCGAAAAGCCUGGUCCAGUGCAGUAAUUCUGAGAAGGGAUAUAGCGGUGUUUGCAUAUUAGUAGUGUUUAGGCAGAAUCUGUGUUUCUACGUCAACAUGGCCACCUCGACCUUAAGAAGAAGGGUCAUCACCCUCCCUUCUCCCCAUUCUUGGAGCCCCCCCACCCCUCAUAGUCUCAAGAAAAGCCUAUGGUGCUCUUUAAGUUUAUUUAAAUUUUUAGGAUUGAUUUGUUAAAUCUGAAUCUCAAAAAUAUUGAAGUUAAAAACAAUACACACAUUAGAUCUUUAUAAAUCAAUUUAAAUUAAUCUACUUCAUAUGUGAGACUAAAUCAAGCAUAUUAUGGUUUGAGUCUUAAAAAAGAAUCAUUCAUCUAAAUGGAUCAUUGAGGGAUCAUAAUGGUUAACACAUAGGAAAAAUCUAUUAUAAUGCAUUGAAUGACAAUCCCUUUGAUAUGGCUAGAGGGUUUAAAUUUUCCUCUAAUUGAUGGAUGUGGCAUCUAAAAUAUGCAUUUUACUAAAAUGGAGAUCCAAAUAACGCUUCUUUUUGUAUGGGUGAAAGUUUUAAGUCAAAUGAUUAUAUUGCUCACUUUGGUAGGGUUAUAUAUAUGAUAUUGAUUUUUCAAACAAUUUUUAUUAUGCUUCGCUUCCUUAUCCUAAAAUUUUAUCAUUUUCAAGCAUAAAUAUAUAAUUUCUAUGAAAAUUAUAAUUUUUGACCUAUCGUGGAAAUUAUAUAAGCUUAGCUUAAGUCGUAACCCAAGCUUUUAUUGGAUUUGAUUUCUCAUCAACAAUUUGUUUAUCAUCUCGGAUAAAAUUAUUUACAAUAACAUCUUUAUGAUAUAAAAAUCAAUACCUUCCUUUCAUGAUUUUGAUUAAGAUCAACUUGAAAAUGGAUGGUGACAUGGAUUUGGAUUCAUCAGUCAGUCGAUAUCAAUGUGCCAUCAGGGAAGCGUCAACUGAAACCCUUGGAGAAAAUAGAGAGGAUUCGAGGAGAAAGGGAAGAAGAACUACUCUACCUUACUUCAAGUGCUCACUGUUUUGCCAGAAACGCCCACGGCAUUGCUGAUGGACGAGUAGAGGGACAUUGCAUGCUACCACUCUCAAAUGCACGAUCCAAAACUUGGAUAGGAUCACUGAUAGCUGUGACAAUGCAAAUGCCCAUUCGAUUACCCCAAAAGCUUAUACUCUUUUAGCUCAAAAGAAUCGUUAGUGGGUGCCAUAUACGCCACAGUGACGAGAACUACACAAACCUGUGGAGGUCCUAUAAUGAGAAACGAGUGAUCGUAAUGGAUGUAUACAUCCAUUAGACCAUGGAAUGACGAGAACUACACGAGAAUGGCAUGAGACAUGCAUCUGCAGUUUACGUGCCGUUUUAGAACAGCGAAAGUCGCCAGCGUCGACUGACAGUUCGGUGGUACGAACGAGGAGACUCCAGCCGGAUAAGAACGUGGUGGAGUGCGUAUAAAGAACUAUUACGAGGUAUUUCGAUUCCUAUCCUACCUCAAAGCUUCAAUCGCCAUCUCCCGAAGUGAGUGGUGACGAAACAGAACCACUCAUAGAUUGAUUAUAUGAGUUUCUAUAUAUAUAUAUAUAUAUAUAUAUAUAUAUAUUUUGAAUAAGAAUGAAUGUAAUGUCAAAUAUGAUAUUUGAGCUUAGAUUUUUUAUUUAUUCAUUGAUAUGUUUCGAAAUAUUUUAUUUGCUAUUGAUAUGUUCUGAAAUAUUUUAAAUAUCAUAACAUUUCAUAUGCUGUUGAUAUACUCCGAAAUAUUUUUUAUGCCACUGAUAUGCUCUGAAAUAUUUCACAUAUUAUUGAUAUAUUUCAAAAUAUUUCAUACGUCAUUAAUAUAUCUUGAAAUUCUUCUUACUUCAUUGAUAUGCUUCCAUUAUUCUUCACUCAAUUUGUUAUGAAUCAAAUACAUUUUUAAUGAAAUGACAUUUACGAUUUUAUAUCUAAUGAGAUGAUAUAUAUGAAUUUUUGUAUCUCUACAUUACAUUUUUAUACUAAUUUUGUUUGAAAUUAUCCUCUCUUGUCAUGUUGGUAUGGACCAAGAUCGUGCUUGUAGAUUGAUUGAACUUGGUUGACCUAUAGGUCGAAUGUUGGGUUUGACCAUGAUGUGGGCCUGAUCGAACUUCAUUGUCUUAGGCACCUUUCAUCCACAAAGAGAGGGUCGAUCGAAAAAAAUAUAUAAGUCUUAUGAGUUUAAAUCAUUCUCUCGUUUUAUGGAGUUCUCUCUAUGCUAAAAUUAUAUCGACCGACCAACCUUCUUUGAACUCAGGGAGAAGGCAUUAUACUCAGGGAAGAAGCCUUAUCCUCGACCAACCAACCUCCUUUGGACUUGAGGAAAAACGGUGCACAAUCAAGAAGGUUCCCUAGAACUCGUAUGAUGUUAAGACUUAUUUUUCUACAGCCCACGCUAGUUGAAUACAGAGAGUUACGGUAGCAAAGUCGACCUACAAUAUGAUAAAGCGGAUUUCAUAGAUUCCAACAAUUAAUCAACGCAUCAUAUGAAGAUAACAAAAUCAAUUGAAUAUACGUUAUCUAGGACAUGUCCUAAUUUUCCUAACAUUAUCUGCAUAAUGCUCAAGCAAAAGGAAGUGGAUGCUGUUAUUUUAUUAGAUUACAUUAACGUGAAGAUUUUGUAUCGGACCCCAUCUCUCAUUAGUAGUCUCACUAAUGGAUGUCUCCAAUUUCCAAAGUGUUAAUUCUUUUUAUUGGUCAACUCAUCACCCAUUCACGUCAAAUGCUCCAUAGUCAAUCCGCCAGUGCAUUUCACGUCGAGAAACUUCUUUUGAGGACAUUGGAUGGUCUCGUGCAUGCAGCUUCAUUUUGACCUUUGAAGUGGAGAGUCGACUGUGUUUGUAGUCAGCACUUGGCUGUCCAACAUGAUUCCCCCACUGAUGCACUUUUUAGCGGAUAAUGCGUGGCUCAUCCUUCCAUUACAAGGCGCCCACUUUGAUUCUGCAGAAUGCCACGGGCCCGAGAAUCCAAUGUUUUAUUUCUCUGGCGAUCGAUCCUACUCAUGCUGAGCUUCCACUUAUGCUUGGAAAAUGGAUGGUGACAUGGAUUUGGAUUCAUCAGUCGGUCGAUAUCAAUGUGGCAUGAGGGAAGCUCCAACUGAAACCCUUGGAGAAAGUAGAGAGGAUUCGAGGAGAAAGGAAGGAAGAACUAACUGUCCCUCACUUCGAGUGAUCACUGUUUUGGCAGCCAAUGCCCGCAGCAUUGCUGAUGAACGAGUAGAGGGACAUUGCAUGCUAACACUUGUAAAAUGCACGAACAAAAACUUGGAUAGGAUCACUGAUAGCUGUGAUGAUGCAAAUGCCCAUUCGAUUACCCAAAAGCUUCUACUCUUUUGGCUCAUAAGAAUCAUUAGUGGGUGCCAUACAAGCCAUAGUGACGAUAACUACCAAACCUGUGGAGGUCCCAUCAUGAGAAAUGAAUUAUCGUAAUGGAUAUAUAUAAGAAUGGCAUGAGACAUGCAUCUGCAACUUACGUGCCGUUUUAGAAUAGCGAAGGUGGCCGGCGUCGGCCAACAGUUCGGUGGUGCCUACGAGGACACAACCGGAUAAGAACGAUGUGAAGUGCGGCUCUUAAAGAAUUACGAGGUAUUCCGAUCCCUUUCCUACCUCAGAGCUUCAAUCGCCAUCUCCCAAAGUGGGUGGUCGCGAAACAAAAACGCUCAUAACUGGACCACCCGUCUCUCUCUUUCUCUCUCUCUCUCUCUUUCUAUCGACUACCUAUAUAUAACUUCUAACACAGCGCUACUAACACAGCGCCUUCAAGGUGAAGUGUUAUCAGGAAGGAGGGUAGACGAUGAGAUCGGGUCUUAGCACUAGUUUACUUCUAAUCUUACUCGUGUUUUCGAUCGGGAACAGUCAGUGUCGCAUUAUGUCCGGUGAGGCGCCGUCUCGGGUUGCCGAUUACGCGCGCGGGAGAUCGAAGCUGAUGAGAUAUCGUAUGGGGUUUGCUACGGGCAGGUCGAUCCAUGGGGACGCGGCGGAGGUCCUAGAUGACACGAAGAGGGCGAUCCCAGGAGGACCUGAUCCCCAACAUCACUCCGUGAAUCCAUGAGCUUGGAUGUUGAUUUUUGCUGUUCCUUCUGUACUCGGAGAAGAAAGGUUGCGGAUUCUUUGCUACUUAAUCUUUUGGCUAGAAUCUGUCUUCCGUCUCUAACCAUCUUUUGGCUUGUUGGUCAACUACUUCAUUGUCUAAUAAGAUACCGUUCUUUGUGCUCGAUUCUUUGCUACUUAAUCAUGGUGGAAUAAUUAAGCUUUUGUUCUCAGUAGUAAAUAGAGUGUGUGAGUGAGUUUUUUCAUGUAACUAAAGUCAUGAAUGUGUCAUCAUAGUUGAUAAAGGCCUCCAUAGUUUAUUAUAAAAUAAAAUAAUUGAUUCGAA
rnacentral:lncRNA from 1 species